rfam:Hordeum vulgare subsp. vulgare, WGS project CAJW01000000 data, contig: morex_contig_1587587
ACGAUACUCCCUCCGUCCCAAAAUUCUUGUCUUAAGUUUAUUUAGAAAUGGAUGUAUCUAAAUANNAAAAUGUGACUAGAUACAUUCAUAUAAAUCUAAGACAAGAAUUUUGGAACGGAGGAAGUAGUUA